CCUACGGGUGGCAGCAGUGAGGAAUAUUGGUCAAUGGGCGCGAGCCAGAACCAGCCAAGUAGCGUGAAGGAUGACUGCCCGACGGGUUGUAAACUUCGGUUAUAAAGGAAUAAAGUGAGGCACGUGUGCCUUUUUGUAUGUACUUUAUGAAUAAGGAUCGGCUAACUCCGUGCCAGCAGCCGCGGUAAUACGGAGGAUCCGAGCGUUAUCCGGAUUUAUUGGGUUUAAAGGGAGCGUAGAUGGGUUGUUAAGUCAGUUGUGAAAGUUUGCGGCUCAACCGUAAAAUUGCACUUGAUACUGGCAGCCUGGAGUACAGUUGAGGUAGUCGGAAUUCGUGGUGUAGCGGUGAACUGCUUAGAUAUCACGUAGAACUCCGAUUGCGAAGGCAGCCUACUAAACUGCCACUGACAUUGAUGCUCGAAAGUGUGGGUAUCAAACAGGAUUAGAUACCCUUGUAGUC
rnacentral:rRNA from 1 species